ACUAAGCGUACACGGUGGAUGCCCUGGCAGUCAGAGGCGAUGAAGGGCGUGCUAAUCUGCGAUAAGCGCCGGUAAGGUGAUAUGAACCGUUAUAACCGGCGAUACCCGAAUGGGGAAACCCAGUGUGAUUCGUCACACUAUCAUUAACUGAAUCCAUAGGUUAAUGAGGCGAACCGGGGGAACUGAAACAUCUAAGUACCCCGAGGAAAAGAAAUCAACCGAGAUUCCCCCAGUAGCGGCGAGCGAACGGGGAGGAGCCCAGAGCCUGAAUCAGCAUGUGUGUUAGUGGAAGCGUCUGGAAAGACGCGCGAUACAGGGUGACAGCCCCGUACACAAAAGCGCAUGUGCUGUGAGCUCGAUGAGUAGGGCGGGACACGUGGUAUCCUGUCUGAAUAUGGGGGGACCAUCCUCCAAGGCUAAAUACUCCUGACUGACCGAUAGUGAACCAGUACCGUGAGGGAAAGGCGAAAAGAACCCCGGCGAGGGGAGUGAAAAAGAACCUGAAACCGUGUACGUACAAGCAGUGGGAGCCCCACCACUAAGCCAGUGGUGAACUCCACAUACGCAUCCUUUGCUGAAGGCAAUGGUUAACGGAGCGAAAGCGACGUUCAACCUCAAAAGAAGCAGAGGGGGCUUAGUGGUGGGGUGACUGCGUACCUUUUGUAUAAUGGGUCAGCGACUUAUAUUCUGUAGCAAGGUUAACCGUAUAGGGGAGCCGUAGGGAAACCGAGUCUUAACCGGGCGUUAAGUUGCAGGGUAUAGACCCGAAACCCGGUGAUCUAGCCAUGGGCAGGUUGAAGGUUGGGUAACACUAACUGGAGGACCGAACCGACUAAUGUUGAAAAAUUAGCGGAUGACCUGUGGCUGGGGGUGAAAGGCCAAUCAAACCGGGAGAUAGCUGGUUCUCCCCGAAAGCUAUUUAGGUAGCGCCUCGUGAAUUCAUCUCCGGGGGUAGAGCACUGUUUCGGCUAGGGGGCCAUCCCGGCUUACCAACCCGAUGCAAACUGCGAAUACCGGAGAAUGUUAUCACGGGAGACACACGGCGGGUGCUAACGUCCGUCGUGAAGAGGGAAACAACCCAGACCGCCAGCUAAGGUCCCAAAGUCAUGGUUAAGUGGGAAACGAUGUGGGAAGGCCCAGACAGCCAGGAUGUUGGCUUAGAAGCAGCCAUCAUUUAAAGAAAGCGUAAUAGCUCACUGGUCGAGUCGGCCUGCGCGGAAGAUGUAACGGGGCUAAACCAUGCACCGAAGCUGCGGCAGCGACACUCAGGUGUUGUUGGGUAGGGGAGCGUUCUGUAAGCCUGUGAAGGUGUGUCGUGAGGCAUGCUGGAGGUAUCAGAAGUGCGAAUGCUGACAUAAGUAACGAUAAAGCGGGUGAAAAGCCCGCUCGCCGGAAGACCAAGGGUUCCUGUCCAACGUUAAUCGGGGCAGGGUGAGUCGACCCCUAAGGCGAGGCCGAAAGGCGUAGUCGAUGGGAAACGGGUUAAUAUUCCCGUACUUGGUGUUACUGCGAAGGGGGGACGGAGAAGGCUAUGUUGGCCGGGCGACGGUUGUCCCGGUUUAAGCGUGUAGGCUGGUUUUCCAGGCAAAUCCGGAAAAUCAAGGCUGAGGCGUGACGACGAGGCACUACGGUGCUGAAGCAACAAAUGCCCUGCUUCCAGGAAAAGCCUCUAAGCAUCAGGUAACAUCAAAUCGUACCCCAAACCGACACAGGUGGUCAGGUAGAGAAUACCAAGGCGCUUGAGAGAACUCGGGUGAAGGAACUAGGCAAAAUGGUGCCGUAACUUCGGGAGAAGGCACGCUGACACGUAGGUGAAGUGAUUUACUCAUGGAGCUGAAGUCAGUCGAAGAUACCAGCUGGCUGCAACUGUUUAUUAAAAACACAGCACUGUGCAAACACGAAAGUGGACGUAUACGGUGUGACGCCUGCCCGGUGCCGGAAGGUUAAUUGAUGGGGUCAGCGCAAGCGAAGCUCCUGAUCGAAGCCCCGGUAAACGGCGGCCGUAACUAUAACGGUCCUAAGGUAGCGAAAUUCCUUGUCGGGUAAGUUCCGACCUGCACGAAUGGCGUAAUGAUGGCCAGGCUGUCUCCACCCGAGACUCAGUGAAAUUGAACUCGCUGUGAAGAUGCAGUGUACCCGCGGCAAGACGGAAAGACCCCGUGAACCUUUACUAUAGCUUGACACUGAACAUUGAGCCUUGAUGUGUAGGAUAGGUGGGAGGCUUUGAAGUGUGGACGCCAGUCUGCAUGGAGCCGACCUUGAAAUACCACCCUUUAAUGUUUGAUGUUCUAACGUGGACCCGUAAUCCGGGUUGCGGACAGUGUCUGGUGGGUAGUUUGACUGGGGCGGUCUCCUCCUAAAGAGUAACGGAGGAGCACGAAGGUUGGCUAAUCCUGGUCGGACAUCAGGAGGUUAGUGCAAUGGCAUAAGCCAGCUUGACUGCGAGCGUGACGGCGCGAGCAGGUGCGAAAGCAGGUCAUAGUGAUCCGGUGGUUCUGAAUGGAAGGGCCAUCGCUCAACGGAUAAAAGGUACUCCGGGGAUAACAGGCUGAUACCGCCCAAGAGUUCAUAUCGACGGCGGUGUUUGGCACCUCGAUGUCGGCUCAUCACAUCCUGGGGCUGAAGUAGGUCCCAAGGGUAUGGCUGUUCGCCAUUUAAAGUGGUACGCGAGCUGGGUUUAGAACGUCGUGAGACAGUUCGGUCCCUAUCUGCCGUGGGCGCUGGAGAACUGAGGGGGGCUGCUCCUAGUACGAGAGGACCGGAGUGGACGCAUCACUGGUGUUCGGGUUGUCAUGCCAAUGGCACUGCCCGGUAGCUAAAUGCGGAAGAGAUAAGUGCUGAAAGCAUCUAAGCACGAAACUUGCCCCGAGAUGAGUUCUCCCUGAGACUUAGAGUCUCCUGAAGGAACGUUGAAGACGACGACGUUGAUAGGCCGGGUGUGUAAGCGCAGCGAUGCGUUGAGCUAACCGGUACUAAUGAACCGUGAGGCUUAACC
rnacentral:rRNA from 1 species